rnacentral:rRNA from 1 species
UAUCAGCUAGUUGGUGGGGUAAUGGCCUACCAAGGCAAAGACGGGUAGCCGGCUUGAGAGGGUGGUCGGCCACACUGGGACUGAGACACUGCCCAGACUCCUACGGGAGGCUGCAGUCGAGAAUCUUUCGCAAUGCCCGAAAGGGUGACGAAGCGACGCCGCGUGUGGGAAGAAGGCCUUCGGGUUGUAAACCACUGUCGGGAGUUAGGAAAUGCAGGUGCGUUAAUAGCGCACUUGCUUGACUAAGGCUCCAGAGGAAGCCACGGCUAACUCUGUGCCAGCAGCCGCGGUAAUACAGAGGCGGCAAGCGUUGUUCGGAAUUAUUGGGCGUAAAGAGCACGUAGGCGGCCUUGCAAGUCAGUUGUGAAA